rnacentral:tRNA from 1 species
UAGCUCAGUGGUAGAGCGCUCGCUUUGCAUGCGAGAAGUCAGGGGUUCAAACCCCCU